UACGUAGGGUGCAAGCGUUAAUCGGAAUUACUGGGCGUAAAGCGUGCGCAGGCGGUUAUGUAAGACAGGUGUGAAAUCCCCGGGCUAACCUGGGAACUGCAUUUGUGACUGCAUAGCUAGAGUACGGUAGAGGGGGAUGGAAUUCCGCGUGUAGCAGUGAAAUGCGUAGAUAUGCGGAGGAACACCGAUGGCGAAGGCAAUCCCCUGGACCUGUACUGACGCUCAUGCACGAAAGCGUAGGGAGCAAACAGG
rnacentral:rRNA from 1 species